GACGUCGAUAUUCGACGUCAUAAACACGAACAACUUUGGUGUUUAUGACGUCGAUAUUCGACGUCAUAAACACGAUCAACUUUGGUGUUUAUGACGUCGAUAUUCGACGUCAUAAACACGAUCAACUUUGGUGUUUAUGACGUCGAUAUUCGACGUC
rnacentral:miRNA from 1 species